UAGAGUUUGAUCCUGGCUCAGGAUGAACGCUGGCAGUGCGCCUGAGAUAUGCAAGUCGAGCGUUGCCCCAAUGGAGCUUGCUCCAGAAGGGAAGCGGCGGACGGCUGAGUAACACGUAGGAACCUGCCCCCAGGUAAGGGAUAGCUCAUCGAAAGAUGGGGUAAUACCUUAUAGUCCCAGCGGAACUUUUGUGAAGUUGGGUAAAGGAUUUAUUCGCCUAGGGAUGGACCUGCGGCCUAUCAGGUAGUUGGUGAGGAAAUGGCUCACCAAGCCGAUGACGGGUAGCUGGCCUCAUGAGGGUGGUCAGCCAGAGGGGGACUGAGACACGGCCCCCACUCCUACGGGAGGCAGCAAUCUGGAAUCGUCGGCAAUGGGGGAAACCCUGACCGCGCGACACUGCGUGUAGGAUUAAGCUCUAACGAGUGUAAACUACUGUGGUACAGGAAGAAGCCUUCGGGCAGACGGUACUGUACUAGAAAGGGGCCGCUAACUGCGUGCCAGAAGCGUCGGUAAUACGUGGGCCCCAAGCGUUAUCCGGUUUUAUUGGGCGUAAAGGGUCGUGUAGGCGGGUAGGUAAGUUAUCUUUGAAAUUCAGAGGCUCAACCUCUGUUCUGGAGGUAAUACUACCAAUCUAGAGUUUUCUUUAGGGUAAGCGGAACUGAGUGAGGAGUAGUGAAAUGCGUUGAUACACUCGGGAACACCAGUGGCGAAGGCGGCUUACUGAAAGAAGACUGACGCUGAGACACGAAAGCUAGGGUAGCGAAGCAGAUUAGAGACCUGCGUAGUCCUAGCCCUAAACGAAUGUUCGCUAGCUGCAUUGAUUCACCUUUGGUGGAUUGGUGUGGCGAAGGUAACCCGUUAAGCGAACCGCCUGGGGAGUACGGCUGCAAGGCUAAAACUCAAAGGAAUUGGCGGGGAGGCACACAACCAGUGGAACAUGUGGCUUAAUUCGAGAUGAACCGAAGAACCUCACCAGGGUUUGACAUAUAGCUGCACAUCCUACGAAAGUAGGACUUCUUCGAGAGUGCUAUACAGGUACUGCAUGGCUGUCGUCAGUUCGUUCCGUGAGGAGUGCCCUUAAGUGGGACAACGAACGCAACCCCCAUCGUAUGUUAUAAGUGUCAUACGAAACUGCCCCGACGUUACGUCGGGGAGGAAGGAGGGGCAGACGUCAAGUCAGCAUGGUCCUUAUACUCUGGGCUGCACACAUGUUACAAUGGGAAGGACAAUGGGUUUAGCUAACUCGCGAGAGUAUGCAAAUCCCACAAACCUUCUCUCAGUUGGGAUUGGAGUCUGCAAUUCGACUCCAUGAACGUGGAAUUGGUAGUAAUCGCGGAUCAGUCAUGUCGCGGUGAAUACGUUCUUGCCUCUUGCACACACCGCCCGUCAAGCCAACAAAGUCGCUGGCAUUCGAACCCCGACGUUAUGUCGGGGGAGAGUACUGGUGGCGAUGAGGGUUAAGUCGUAACAAGGUAACC
rnacentral:rRNA from 2 species